rnacentral:tRNA from 1 species
CCACACAUGGUAACUCCUUUAAAGA